GAUGAAGAACGUAGCGAAAUGCGAUACUUGGUGUGAAUUGCAGAAUCCCGUGAACCAUCGAGUCUUUGAACGCAAGUUGCGCCCGAAGCCAUCAGGUUGAGGGCACGUCUGCCUGGGCGUCACAUAUCGUUGCCCAAUGCCUAUUGCAGUGCAAUAGGAAUUUCUAGGGCGAGUGAUGGCUUCCCGUGAGCGUUGUUGCCUCGCGGUUGGUUGAAAAUCGAGUCCUUGGUAGGGUGUGCCAUGGUAGAUGGUGGUCGAGUUAGAACGAUACCGAUCAUGUGCAUGCUCCCCAAAAUAUGGCCUCUAUGACCCACACGCGUCUUUUGACGCUCAUGACGAGACCUCAGGUCAGGCGGGGCUACCCGCUGAAUUUAAGCAUAUCAAUAAGCGGAGGA
rnacentral:misc_RNA from 1 species